CGCAGUAUAAAGACUAAAGAGGGGGUCGGAGCCCCAUGUUGCCGACCUCUAGCGUAGAGUAUGGCACCAACAGGUGGGCACACCUGUCCUGAUCCUGCCUCACAGGCUACAAAGCACCAAUCCUUGCUUCUGUCAGUGCGGCUCAUUUAAACUAUAGGAAUGAUUUACCUGGCACUGAAAAGUUCUUGGUCAGCUUUGCUGUUAUGACACAACAAUAUAAUGACAAAUUAAUACUACGGGAGCUUUUCUUCCCCUGCACUGUAAAAGUCCAAAGUCCAUAUUUAUGUGUAGGUGAACUUCAGGGUUCAGGAUCUCAGGUGUUCCUCUGCACUGCUGCACCUGGAAUCUACACUGUGACAUCAUUAAAACCAGUCCUGAAAGACAAGUGUGCAUAUAAAGCUAAAGAAGAAUCCAACCAAAGGUGUCGGCUGACGUGAAAUAUCGUUUCACAUUGAAAGUGAAAAUUCCUAACAUGUGACAGUUGUUCCGGUGUUAAGGGUCCGGUUUGGUUUGUACGAGUAAAACGGGACAAACCAGUCCAGUACCGUUCUGAAGAAAUGAAACCAGGCUGCUAAUAUGGUGAAUGAGUUUAUAUUAACCUAGUGUCCACAUCUUAGGAGGUCUUGGGAGGUUAAAAUGACAAAUUAAUAGUACAGGAGCGUUUCUAGCCCUGCACUGUAAAAGUCCAAAGUUCAUACUUAUGUGUAGGUGAGCUUCAGGGUUCAGGAUCUCUGUGUUCCUCUGCACUGCUGCACCAGGUAAUAAUGAAACCUGGAAAGAAGUGAAAGUGCAAACAGCCAAUUCCAACCCACCCACUGCACAGACAUCUUGAUAUAAAGUGGAAGCGGGAUGCUCAGGUCAGUGUUUCUGUGCACAGCAGAUUAUCAGCUCACACACUCAGGACAGCAAGGAGAUUCAUCAAGAAGAUGGAAGCGAAUAAUAAAGAUAUCAAAAAACUGAUUCAUGCAUUAUCACCUGAUGUAGAGAGGGAGCUGAGAAACACCUGGACGAGCCUCCUCAAAGGAGCAGUUGUGACGGGAGGAUGCACAUUAGUAUGCGGGGCUCUCAUUGGACCUGUGGGGUUUGCUGUUGGUGGAGCCAUUGGUGGCCUCUGCAGCUGGCUGACCAGUAAAAAGUUCAAGUCUGUGCCUGAGAUCCUGCAGGAGAUGACUGAUGACCAGAGGAGAGACCUCUUCAACGCAAUCAGGCGACAUUUACAAGAACGUGGGGUGACGUGGCAAAAUGCAGAGCAGCUCAUUGCUGCAGUAAUGGGAAAUUAUGAUCUCAAGAGGACAAUUAUCAAUUUGUUAAUCAGAAUGUUAAUGUGAGAACAGGCGUCUUAUCAUUUAUGACUCUGUGUGUGUGUUGGCCUUCAUGAUAGACAAACACAGUCAGACGUAUUUCUCAGUUACAAACAUAAAUUAGAGAUAAUCUGUGCCGGAGUAGAAAGUCAAUGUAUUUCCUCACUCUGACUCAAAUAAAAGAAAAAAACUGCUGAACA